ensembl:snoRNA SNORD116 Small nucleolar RNA SNORD116
GGAUCGAUGAUGACUCCCUCAUUCUGCAUUCCUUGGAAAAGCUGAACAAAAUGAGU